rnacentral:rRNA from 1 species
CCUACGGGAGGCAGCAGUCGAGAAUCAUUCACAAUGGGGGAAACCCUGAUGGUGCGACGCCGCGUGGGGGAAUGAAGGUCUUCGGAUUGUAAACCCCUGUCAUGUGGGGGCAAAUUAAAAAGAUAGUACCACAAGAGGAAGAGACUGCUAACUCUGUGCCAGCAGCCGCGGUAAUACAGAGGUCUCAAGCGUUGUUCGGAAUCGCUGGGCGUAACGCGUGCGUAGGCUGUUUCGUAAGUCGUGUGUGAAAGGCGCGGGCUCAACCCGCGGACGGCACAUGAUACUGCGAGACUAGAGUAAUGGAGGGGGAACCGGAAUGCUCGGUGUAGCAGUGAAAUGCGUAGAUAUCGAGAGGAACACUCGUGGCGAAGGCGGGUUCCUGGACAUUAACUGACGCUGAGGCACGAAGGCCAGGGGAGCGAAAGGGAUUAGAUACCCCUGUAGUC